rnacentral:rRNA from 1 species
GACGUAGGGCGCAAGCGUUGUCCGGAUUUAUUGGGCGUAAAGAGCUCGUAGGCGGUUUGUCGCGUCUGCUGUGAAAACUCGGGGCUUAACUCCGGGCCUGCAGUGGGUACGGGCAGACUAGAGUGCGGUAGGGGAGACUGGAAUUCCUGGUGUAGCGGUGAAAUGCGCAGAUAUCAGGAGGAACACCGGUGGCGAAGGCGGGUCUCUGGGCCGUAACUGACGCUGAGGAGCGAAAGCGUGGGGAGCGAACAGG